UACGUAGGGUGCGAGCGUUGUCCGGAAUUAUUGGGCGUAAAGGGCUCGUAGGCGGUCUGUCGCGUCGGGAGUGAAAACUCAGGGCUUAACCCCGAGCCUGCUUCCGAUACGGGCAGACUAGAGGUAUGCAGGGGAGAAUGGAAUUCCUGGUGUAGCGGUGAAAUGCGCAGAUAUCAGGAGGAACACCGGUGGCGAAGGCGGUUCUCUGGGCAUUACCUGACGCUGAGGAGCGAAAGUGUGGGGAGCGAACAGG
rnacentral:rRNA from 1 species